CCUACGGGAGGCAGCAGUGGGGAAUUUUGGACAAUGGGCGCAAGCCUGAUCCAGCCAUGCCGCGUGCGGGAAGAAGGCCUUCGGGUUGUAAACCGCUUUUGUCAGGGAAGAAACGGUUUGGGCUAAUACCCCGAACUAAUGACGGUACCUGAAGAAUAAGCACCGGCUAACUACGUGUCAGCAGCCGCGGUAAUACGUAGGGUGCAAGCGUUAAUCGGAAUUACUGGGCGUAAAGCGUGCGCAGGCGGUCAUGCAAGACAGAUGUGAAAUCCCUGGGCUCAACCUAGGAACUGCAUUUGUGACUGCAUGGCUUGAGUGCGGCAGAGGGGGAUGGAAUUCCGCGUGUAGCAGUGAAAUGCGUAGAUAUGCGGAGGAACACCGAUGGCGAAGGCAAUCCCCUGGGCCCGCACUGACGCUCAUGCACGAAAGCGUGGGGAGCAAACAGGAUUAGAUACCCUGGUAGUCCACGCCCUAAACGAUGUCAACUGGUUGUUGGACGGCUUGCUGUUCAGUAACGAAGCUAACGCGUGAAGUUGACCGCCUGGGGAGUACGGCCGCAAGGUUGAAACUCAAAUGAAUUGACGG
rnacentral:rRNA from 1 species